CCCUCCGCCCUCCGCCCUCCGCCCUCCCCUCCGCCCUCCGCCCUCCGCCCUCCGCCCUCCGCCCUCCGCCCUCCGCCCUCCGCCCUCCGCCCUCCUCGCGGCUCUGACGCGGUCUGACGCGGCUCUGACGCGGCUGCGCAGAGGCUGGAGGGCGGAGGAGCACGUUCUCCUCGUUCUGCUUGGGGUUGAAGAAAAGACGAAGCGGUCGGAAAAGAAACAACGUGGACCCACACGCGGGGCGCUCGAGGAGAUCUCCCUACUUCUGGAGAGUAGGAGGGAGGCCAGAAACCAAGAAGAGCCGAGAGACCAUGCUUCCGGCCGGAGACAGAACAGAGAGGGAGAGAGGAGCGCGCCCGCCCCCAGGCCGAUCCGGUGUCCGUCAGGCAGCCUCUGUGAGCCUCGAUUCGAGGGACUACGGCCGCUACUCAUCCUGUCCAGUAAGUCUCCACUUUGGCCACUCACAGCCUAUCAAAUACUGCCCGACAUCUUGCCGAAUAUUGAUAAUGGCCGCCAAAGGCCGCAAGAACCCGUAAGGAGAACUAUCUACAGCUCCGAGGGAUCAGCCAUGCUCAACCCCAGAAGACAGUUGACCAGAUAAAGAUGCUACUUCCUUUUGUGAUACAUGGGCUGAGGGCAAGGACAGAGGGACUCACCACAUUGCCUUGUCCUGUCUUUUUUCCUGGGAGCUCUCUCAUCUUCCCACUUGAUUGUGAGACUCUGUGCAGAGGAGAUCAUGUUAUAUACCCUUUGCAGGGCCUGGUAGAUAGCUGAAGCCCAACAAAUGCUUAUAAGCGUUGCACUUACUGUUCUCAUUCUAUUCUUCAAUAAAAUUCCCCCAAAUGUUUUGAAUUUUGAAUGA
rnacentral:lncRNA from 1 species